rnacentral:lncRNA from 1 species
CAGGUUCCAGCAGCACUGCGCUCCCUGCAGCCUCCCUGGAUGAUCUUCUCCGCAGCUGCCUCUACCUACAGAUGCUCUCUGCCUCAAAGCCUGCAAACCGAUAACGAUGACCUCACCCACCCUCUGCCACCUCCAGUUUUGUUUUUCAGCGAGAGAAGCAGCAAAAAUUUUCAUAGAGACAGGGUCUUGUUAUGUUUCCCAGGCUGAUCUCAAACUCCUGGGUUCAAGUGAGCCUCCCUGCUCAGCCUCCCAAAGAGCUGGGAUUACAGGUGUGGCCCACUGCACUUAAAUAUUAACAUGCAGAACACACAGAAAACAAUUGCUCAGUUCACUGAAACACUGUAAAGAGAAUGACCUUAUAAUGACAACCAGGCGAAGACUUGGAAGAAGCCUUCACAGAGAGGUGACAUUUGGAGAGAGAGCCCCGCAGCCCUGCAGCCAUGCAGACUGCAGCCCACAGCCACGCAGCCAUGCAGGGAUCUGGGGACCGAGCUCC